GUAGGGGCCAAGCGUUGUCCGGAUUUAUUGGGCGUAAAGAGCUCGUAGGCGGUUGGGUAAGUCGGGUGUGAAAACUCCAGGCUCAACUUGGAGACGCCACCCGAUACUGCUCUGACUUGAGUUCGGUAGGGGAGUGGGGAAUUCCUGGUGUAGCGGUGAAAUGCGCAGAUAUCAGGAGGAACACCGGAGGCGAAGGCGCCACUCUGGGCCGAAACUGACGCUGAGGAGCGAAAGCGUGGGUAGCAAACAGGAUUAGAUACCCUGGUAGUCCACGCCGUAAACGUUGGGCACUAGGUGUGGGCCCUAACCAACGGGGUCCGUGCCGUAGCUAACGCAUUAAGUGCCCCGCCUGGGGAGUACGGCCGCAAGGUUA
rnacentral:rRNA from 1 species